rnacentral:lncRNA from 1 species
GUCGAAUGGGGUGAACGGAUUAGGGUGCCCCUCUAGCAGGGGAGAGCAGGGAACUGCCUCCAAGGGAAAGGGGGCUGCUGGUGAAGCUAUACCACCCCCUGUAACAACAUGCUUGCAUGCUUGCGUUUAAAACCCUAAGUUUACGAGACACAGAUUGCACCUUCCUUCGAAAAGGGGGGGAGAGAGACGGGAAGGGGAGGGGACCGCCACGAACUGUAUAAGACUCACCCCUACGUCGCUUUUCUCACAGCUCUUACUUACCUUCCAAAAACACACACACACACACACACGCAUACACACACACGCACACACACACGCACACACACGCACACACACACGCACACACACACACGCACACACACGCACACAUAGUCUCAAUACCGUGAGAUGAUGCGUGGUGCGAGCCAUGACGAGGUGGUCUCAUAUUCCUUAAUUACACAUCAGCGCCACCGCUGCUGCCGCUGUAGAUGCUGUCUUUCUCAGUCCCCCUCUCGUCCGCCACAGCAAGCAAGGACUCAUUAGCCCAGGAAAUGACACCCUCUCGCUCCUCGUGGUCCGUUUGACAGCGGUUAUGUUCGUUAGGGGUCCACGAGGCUACUCGCAUCUAGCGAGGUGAUGUGUCCUCUAGCAGUAACAGCAAUAGCAAUAGCAGUAGGCAGAGGAGGACGAGGAGGAAGACGAGCGGGCAUCGCGAUCAGGACGACGAGGGAGCGAGGUAUGCAGCAAUAACAGCCGCAGUAGCAGGUCAAGGAGGACUCCGUAUCAAUAGCCGCGGCAGCACUGAAAUCAGCCGCAGUAGCAGAAGAAGAGAUGCCCCUUCGAACGCUCUGUCAUUAAAAAUAUACACAGCCUCAGAGCCACCUGCUGUUGCGCGAUGAGCUCCGCAUCCACGGGCCUGGAGAAGGGGUUUCCACCAGGAUGAUAACACCUACCAUCUCUACUGGCCGCAUGGCAGUUGCCAUCACUUGUGUUUCGGGCAUGCGAGGUUUUGAGGAGUGAUUUUGAUGGAUCAGCAGCUCCCGGAUAAGGUAUUUUGCCUCUUGGUAAAUCAAAUGCGCGAUGGAUCAGCUUCAGCGCAACGAGCUGUCCCGUGCACUACGUGGUGGCUGUCUCUAACGCCCAGCGUCCUUAUGGGCCGCAGAGCCGGAUGAACCGCGAGAGGACCUUCCUUCAUACCCCCACCCAGCAGAACCGCUGUCAGGAGCGACUUGGAACAUUAGUUCAAACGCGUUCACAGAUCUUCAAUCGUCCGAGAAGCCAACAUGGGUCAUCGACAUAGGUAGCUUUCCAUGAAAAGAAGGAAGCCAAUCCCGG